GACGAACGCUGGCGGCGUGCUUAACACAUGCAAGUCGAGCGGAAAGGCCACUUCGGUGGUACUCGAGCGGCGAACGGGUGAGUAACACGUGAGUAAUCUGCCCCUGGCUUUGGGAUAGCCACCGGAAACGGUGAUUAAUACCGGAUACGACCACUUCUCGCAUGGGAUGGUGGUGGAAAGGUUUUUCGGCCAGGGAUGUGCUCGCGGCCUAUCAGCUUGAUGGUGAGGUAAUGGCUCACCAUGGCUUCGACGGGUAGCCGGCCUGAGAGGGUGACCGGUCACACUGGGACUGAGACACGGCCCAGACUCCUACGGGAGGCAGCAGUGGGGAAUAUUGGACAAUGGGCGGAAGCCUGAUCCAGCAACGCCGCGUGAGGGAUGACGGCCUUCGGGUUGUAAACCUCUUUCAGCAGGGACGAAGCGCAAGUGACGGUACUUGCAGAAGAAGCACCGGCCAACUACGUGCCAGCCGCCGCUGUAA
rnacentral:rRNA from 1 species